AAAAUUCUGACUUCCCCAAUUCUCACAAACCACAAAUCCCUAAUCCGCUUAAAUAACAAUAUCUAUCGUCAAUGGAAAGCUACAUCCCUAAACCCCGCCGACGGAACCACUCUCCCUCUCUCGUUGAGCUCCAGCAAAAGACUUGAACCAAUCAUCAUCUCGUUUAGCUCUGACAGAGGGCUCUGUUCUUCACCACGAGCAACCUCUGGCGCCAUACACACUUUUAAUUCCCUUAGAGCCGCUGCAAUUCCUCUUAGAACAUCUGCAAAUUUGCAAAGACACAAAC
rnacentral:lncRNA from 1 species